AACGAACGCUGGCGGCGUGCCUAACACAUGCAAGUCGAGCGGGAAAGUUCCCUUCGGGGAGCGAGUACAGCGGCGAACGGGUGAGUAACACGUAGGUAACCUACCCUGGAGAUCGGGAUAACCUGCCGAAAGGCGGGCUAAUACCGGAUAAGACCACGAGGGCUGCGGCCCUUGAGGAAAAAGAUGGCCUCUGCUUGCAUGCUAUCACUCUGGGAUGGGCCUGCGCGCCAUAGCUAGUUGGUGAGGUAACGGCUCACCAAGGCUGAGAUGGCUAGCUGGUCUGAGAGGAUGGCCAGCCACACUGGGACUGAGACACGGCCCAGACUCCUACGGGAGGCAGCAGUGGGGAAUAUUGCGCAAUGGGCGAAAGCCUGACGCAGCGACGCCGCGUGGGUGAUGAAGGCC
rnacentral:rRNA from 1 species